UGGAGAGACAGAUGACAUAACUUUCGAAAGCUCUGAAGCUACCAAAGAGUUUAUUGAGGAGUUGGAAAUAAAAUCUUAUGGUUGAUCCUAUCAUUAUUCUGAGGCUUCACGGAUAAUUCGCUAUAAGAUCAUUGCAGACUCAAAACAGAAGACUAGUCAAAUUUGCCUAUAUUAUGAAGUUGCAUCAUAAGAAGCGGGUUCUAAAAUUUUAAAGCUUAGAGUUU
rnacentral:lncRNA from 1 species